rnacentral:rRNA from 1 species
GACGAACGCUGGCGGCGUGCCUAACACAUGCAAGUCGAACGAAGCUCUGCGAUACAAGACUUCGGUCAAGUUGAACGGAUGACUUAGUGGCGGACGGGUGAGUAACGCGUGAGGAACCUGCCUUUCAGUGGGGGACAACAGUUGGAAACGACUGCUAAUACCGCAUAAUGUAUUCUGACCGCAUGAUCGGAAUACCAAAGAUUUAUUGCUGAAAGAUGGCCUCGCGUCUGAUUAGCUAGUUGGUGAGGUAACGGCCCACCAAAGCGACGAUCGGUAGCCGGACUGAGAGGUUGAACGGCCACAUUGGGACUGAGACACGGCCCAGACUCCUACGGGAGGCAGCAGUGGGGGAUAUUGCGCAAUGGGGGGAACCCUGACGCAGCAACGCCGCGUGAAGGAUGAAGGUUUUCGGAUUGUAAACUUCUUUUAUUUAGGACGAACAAUGACGGUACUAAAUGAAUAAGCUCCGGCUAACUACGUG